UGAAUUGCAGAAUUCAGUGAAUCAUCGAAUCUUUGAACGCAAAUGGCGCUCUUGGGUUCUCCCAGGAGCAUGUCUGUCUGAGUGUCU
rnacentral:rRNA from 9 species